rnacentral:rRNA from 1 species
UGCUAGUCGUACGAGUUCAGACUCGUGGCGAAUAGCUCAGUAACACGUGGUCAAACUACCCUGUCGAGCGGGACACCCUCGGGAAACUGAGGCUAAUCCCGCAUACGGCUCGCUGCCUGGAGUGGCGCGAGCUCGAAACGCUCCGGCGCGACAGGAUGUGACUGCGGCCGAUUAGGUAGACGGUGGGGUAACGGCCCACCGUGCCGAUAAUCGGUACGGGUUGUGAGAGCAAGAGCCCGGAGACGGUAUCUGAGACAAGAUACCGGGCCCUACGGGGCGCAGCAGGCGCGAAACCUUUACACUGCACGCCAGUGCGAUAAGGGGACUCCCAGUGCGAGGGCAUAUCGUCCUCGCUUUUGUGUACCGUAGGGAGGUACACGAAUAAGGGCUGGGCAAGACCGGUGCCAGCCGCCGCGGUAAUACCGGCAGCCCGAGUGAUGACCGCUAUUAUUGGGCCUAAAGCGUCCGUAGCCGGCCACGCAAGUCCGUCGGGAAAUCCGCACGCCUAACGUGCGGGCGUCCGGCGGAAACUGCCUGGCUUGGGACCGGAAGACCAGAGGGGUACGUCCGGGGUAGGAGUGAAAUCCCGUAAUCCUGGACGGACCACCGGUGGCGAAAGCGCCUCUGGAAGACGGAUCCGACGGUGAGGGACGAAAGCUCGGGUCACGAACCGGAUUAGAUACCCGGGUANUCCGAGCCGUACACGAUGUCUGCUAUGUGUGACACUGGCUACGAGCCAGUUGUGUGCCGUAGG